UGGGCUGUAGCCAAGCGGUAAGGCAGCGGGUUUUGAUCCCGCCAUUCCCAGGUUCGAAUCCUGGCAGCCCAG
rnacentral:tRNA from 1 species